rnacentral:rRNA from 1 species
UACGGAGGGUGCGAGCGUUGUCCGGAAUCACUGGGCGUAAAGGGCGCGUAGGCGGCGCAGGAAGUCAACGGUGAAAGUUCAGGGCUCAACCCUGAAUCGGCCGUCGAUACUCCUGGGCUCGAGCACUGUAGAGGCAGAUGGAAUUCCGGGUGUAGCGGUGGAAUGCGUAGAGAUCCGGAAGAACACCGGUGGCGAAGGCGGUCUGCUGGGCAGUUGCUGACGCUGAUGCGCGACAGCGUGGGGAGCAAACAGG